UGGGGAAUUUUGGACAAUGGGGGAAACCCUGAUCCAGCCAUCCCGCGUGUGCGAUGAAGGCCUUCGGGUUGUAAAGCACUUUUGGCAGGAAAGAAACGUCAUGGGUUAAUACCCCGUGAAACUGACGGUACCUGCAGAAUAAGCACCGGCUAACUACGUGCCAGCAGCCGCGGUAAUACGUAGGGUGCAAGCGUUAAUCGGAAUUACUGGGCGUAAAGCGUGCGCAGGCGGUGCGGAAAGAAAGAUGUGAAAUCCCAGAGCUCAACUUUGGAACUGCAUUUUUAACUACCGGGCUAGAGUGUGUCAGAGGGAGGUGGAAUUCCGCGUGUAGCAGUGAAAUGCGUAGAUAUGCGGAGGAACACCGAUGGCGAAGGCAGCCUCCUGGGAUAACACUGACGCUCAUGCACGAAAGCGUGGGGAGCAAACAGG
rnacentral:rRNA from 1 species